UACGAGGGGUGGCAAGCGUUGCUCGGAAUUAUUGGGCGUAAAGGGUAGGUAGGUGGUCUCGUUUGUCUGGGGUGAAAGCCUUGAGCUCAACUCAAGAAGUGCCUCGGAAACGGCGAGACUAGAGUCCUGGAGAGGGUCGUGGAAUUCCCGGUGUAGCGGGUGAAAUGCGUAGAGAUCGGGAGGAACACCAGAGGCGAAGGCGGCGACCUGGACAGGCACGUGACACUCAA
rnacentral:rRNA from 1 species